AAACAACAAUGUAUAUGCGUAUUUAAAAACUUACGUCACACGAUUGCUAAUGAACGAAUUUCCUUCGGAUUAAAAGCAAGUUAUCUGGUGGUACCAGUUGCAACCUUGUUGCAAGCUCUGUAAGAUACGUAAGAAUAUAUAUCACUGUGUAUAUCAUAUCACUGCAAGGAUAUAUAAUACACGGGACAAUCUGUGGCGAGAGGAGAUCAAAGAAUUCUUCGACAUAAUAUUAAAAUUGACUGGCGCACUUACUUGGCUUCGAGGGCAAGUGCAAACACUCCCGCAGCCUCGGGUGCAGCGGCUGAGGUUCCGCUGUGCGUCGUCGUGCAUUUGCCGUAAAGAUUGCAGCUUCACGGUAAUACUGGUUUCGCAUCAUUUUACUCACCUAUUGAACCAAUCAUCGGUAUAUCGUGGAUACGGAUAAGGAUCGUUACUGCUGAAGUCGUAAGAAGCUUUGGCGUUCUAAAACAUACGAAGGAUUUUUCUUUAGUUUCGUUGAAUCUUCCAACGAAAAUGGUAUCCUAUUUCCUGAUUACAAGGAGCAUUCUAGGAAUUUGAAAUUGAUAGAAGAUCGACAUCCUACGGAUUUCCAUCCCACGCCAAUUCUUUUUUCUCUUUUUAAGAAGAUGAAAUAAAAAUACGUUACGACGACAAUUCGAUCGGUAAGUAUAACACGCCAGGGAAUCAGUAUUGGUCUGAGUAGCGAUAUUAUUUAAGAUGAAAGUUUCCUGGAGCUUUUCUAAUGGAUGAAAAGGUGAAGGAAAUACGCUUAUUCGCUCUUUCGUAACGUAACUUUCAUUUGACCGCACUGCUGAAUGUUUCAUUUUUGUAAUUUCUAUUUGUUAUUUCUAUGUACUUACUACGCAUUGUAAAAAUUGUACUCUGGUGUUAUCGACUGGAAAUUAUCCUUUUCUUACUGUCAUCCAUAUUGUCGAUCAGAUCAUAACAUUAUUUUAUUUUAUCUGACUCAGAAUCGAAUUCUUGUUCUCCAGGUUGAUAAGCAGUAGUUCUCUUAACAUUGUCAUUGCAAUGUUCUUCAUGUCAGCUUUUCCUUUUACACGGCUCUUGCAAGCUAUGCUACUUCUGUCAUGAUAAAAAUAUUACUAAUAUUUCAUAGAUAAUCUCCUCGUUGUUCUUCAUAAAUAUCACGUUGUCAAGGGAAUUUUUCGCGCAUAAAAUAUUUCGCAAAUUUGUAUAACGAUAAAUCAGAGUAAAUCUCCGACAAAAAUGACUAGACUUGUUGGCUUCAUCAAUUAAUCGAACACAGAACCCACCGACAUAAUUUGCAUAGCAUGGAAAUUCUUUCCUAUUAAUUUUACACCCCAUAAAUUUCUCGUAUCCACAGAACGUCGCUCGACUAUUAAUCUUCGUCUUGAAAACUACCCCUUCAGUUCAUCCCUUCGUUCUUCCCAAUCCCCUCCCA
rnacentral:misc_RNA from 1 species